UUUCGCUUUAAUAUCGUUGUUGUUAUCUUCAUGAAAUGUGCGAAUUUUAUUCAUAUGAGUUGGUCAUCCGCACAACUGAUCGACCCAGCCCUCUGGGUAUGUGAGCGCUUCAGUACUAAAUUUCAUAGGAAAUAGGUUGUGUGACAGAACCGAUGCUUUUUUGUUGUUGUUCUUUUCUGAAAAUAAUUGGUAACCGUUAGUCCUGCCACGACGCCGACAAUUGUUGUCUUUCAAUUUUAUUGAUUGUUGUUUUUAGUAAAUUUUAAGUAACGGUUGAAAGCGGUCGCGUGUGAAGUAUUAAAAGUUAUUUAAGUAUGUACAGCAAACGUCAUCAAAGAAGAUUAAUUAAUGCCGAAAUAAAUGAAAUUCUAAAUAUAAAUAAUUCAAAUGAAAAUAAUUAUAAUCUUAGUGAAUGUGACAAUGGUUCAAAAAUUAAUAGAUUUGGUGACAUUACAUCUUUUGUUUCUAAUUGUACCACUCUAAAAGCCAAACCACCUGACAAUAUUUGUUUUGCUAAUGAUAGUCCUUUCCAAAUUUUUCGAUUUUCGAAUGAAGAAAAUGAGGUUUUCAUUAUAGGAAGAAGGUUUACAAAUUGUAAAGCAUAUUUCAAAAGACCUUUGAAUUCGCUAACAGAUUUAGGAAUUUUUACUUCGAACAAAACCCCCACUGAAAACGAAGAAACGUUUAAUAUAAAGCAGGUUAACUACAAACCUUUUUACUUUCCAAUUAAUGCCAACGAAUAUUUAUUCAUUCCUAUACUGCAUUCAAUUUAAGUAAAAGUCGAUACACAAAGAUGUCACAAAACUUAUUUACUUCAACUCCGGUAUUCAGAUGCAAUGCUACAUUAAGCGAUGAAAACAUUAGUCCAGGUAUGUUAAUAUUACAAAAAUUUUCAACAAAUUUAAUUAACUUUUUGGUGUAGAACUUUUUGACCGAAAUUUUUUAACUUUUUCGAGCCAAAAACUCCAACCCCGGAAACCAAAAAAGUUAACCUCAGCCCAAACAAGUAAUUUAAUUCACUAUUGUUUUUUGUAUAUUUGUAGUUCCGGAAAAUACUCAAAAUGAACUAAAUAAAAUCAAGCAACAAAUAAACGAACUUAUGACAAAAUUGGAUGAGCAGGCAAACUCUAUUGCAGCCUUAAUAAGCAGCCAGGCACAGAACAAUUUGCUGAUAAAGCAAGUGCUUAAUAAAGUGGAGAAGAAAAUAAGAUUCCCAGUUUGCGACGUAAUGCAACUCACGGAAAUUGAAGAUGAUGUUUCCAAAAAUAAAAAUAUAUACGUGUCUAUUAUAAAAAUUAUUGGAUCAAUUGGAGUUGCAAACGGAAUGAAAAAAAAAUUCUCAGCGAUAGCGUCAUGGUGCAGUUAAAUUAUGAUGGACUGCAAGACAAGGUGGCAUUCAAGAAGUUUGAGUGCCUAAAUAAUGCCAUAUAUGAAGCAAUGCAAGUGGAAGGUUUCACUAAAGGCGAUUAUGAGCGGAAGCUCAAAAGAGCUUUCAAGAUGGGUAAAAACCGAUAUUACAAAGCGGGCUCUUUGAAAAAGCAAAAAGAUAAACAAAUAUAAUAAAUUAAAGUAUGAAAACAAUUAAUUUAAGUAACAUUGACAUUAUUUUUAAAUGUAAAAUCUUAAUUAUAGUAAUUAGUACUGAAAUGGAUUUCUUUAUUAUUUCUAAUUGAAUUAAAAAAUAUAAAACUAUAAGAUAUUUAUUUUGGAUUCGUUUUAGAAGGAAAUGCGUACAACUGAUCGAUUCAUCUAUUUAGGUAUGGGAGCCGGUAAUUCGCACAACUGAUCGAUUCGUAUACCCAGGUUUGUGAGCCGGUUAUGCGUACAACUGAUCGAUUCGCAUACCCAGGAAUGUGAGCCGGUAAUGCUUACAACUGACUAAUUCAUGUCUUCAGAUAUAUAGCUUGGUAAUGCGUACAGCUGAUCGAUUUGUAUUCCUGGGUAUGUGAGUUGAUUCCUAGGACAUCGCUGUGUUAAAAUUCAGCAAUGAAUUCAGCAGU